GUGAACGCUGGCGGUAGGCCUAACACCUGCAAGUCGAACGGCAGCACCGUAAGAGCUUGCUCUUACGGGUGGCGAGUGGCGGACGGGUGAGGAAUACAUCGGAAUCUACUUUUUCGUGGGGGAUAACGUAGGGAAACUUACGCUAAUACCGCAUACGACCUACGGGUGAAAGCAGGGGAUCUUCGGACCUUGCGCGAUUGAAUGAGCCGAUGUCGGAUUAGCUAGUUGGCGGGGUAAAGGCCCACCAAGGCGACGAUCCGUAGCUGGUCUGAGAGGAUGAUCAGCCACACUGGAACUGAGACACGGUCCAGACUCCUACGGGAGGCAGCAGUGGGGAAUAUUGGACAAUGGGCGCAAUCCUGAUCCAGCCAUACCGCGUGGGUGAAGAAGGCCUUCGGGCUGUAAAGCCCUUUUGUUGGGAAAGAAAAGCAGCAGGUUAAUACCCCGCUGUUCUGACGGUACCCAAAGAAUAAGCACCGGCUAACUUCGUG
rnacentral:rRNA from 1 species